AAUCCUAUAGGAUCCUAUAGGAAUUCCUAUAGGAAAUGCCAUUUCCUAUAGGAAUUCCUAUAGGAUCCCAUAGGAAUA